UCUGAAUCAGUUGGUGUGUUAGUGGAAGCGUCUGGAAAGUCGCACGGUACAGGGUGAUAGUCCCGUACACAAAAACACACUGGCUGUGAACUCGAUGAGUAGGGCGGGACACGUGACAUCCUGUCUGAAUAUGGGGGGACCAUCCUCCAAGGCUAAAUACUCCUGACUGACCGAUAGUGAACCAGUACCGUGAGGGAAAGGCGAAAAGAACCCCGGCGAGGGGAGUGAAAUAG
rnacentral:rRNA from 1 species